CGCGAGCUAGCUUCAUUGCCUA
rnacentral:siRNA from 1 species